CCCUUAGAUGUUCUGGGCCGCACGCGCGCUACACUGACGAAGUCAGCGAGCAUGUCCUACGCCGACAGGUGCGGGGAAUCUUGUCAAACUUCGUCGUGAUGGGGAUUGAUUAUUGAAAUUCUUGAUCAUCAACGAGGACUUCCUAGUAAGCGCAAGUCAGCAGCUUGCGUUGAUUACGUCCCUGCCCUUUGUACACACCGCCCGUCGCUACUACCGAUUGAAUGGUUUAGUGAGAUCUUCGGAUUGGCGCCACUGCGGCUCAGCAAUGGGCUCGGUGGAUGCCGAAAAGUUGAUCAAACUUGAUCAUUUAGAGGAAGUAAAAGUCGUAACA
rnacentral:rRNA from 1 species